UACAGAGGGUGCGAGCGUUGUUCGGAAUUAUUGGGCGUAAAGCGCUUGUAGGCGGCUUGUUAAGUUCCGUGUGAAAUCCCCAGGCUUAACCUGGGAAGUGCGCGGAAAACUGGCGAGCUUGAGUGCCGGAGAGGGUCGCGGAAUUCCCGGUGUAGAGGUGAAAUUCGUAGAUAUCGGGAGGAACACCAGUGGCGAAGGCG
rnacentral:rRNA from 1 species